rnacentral:miRNA from 1 species
UGGUGUAGGCUAAUCACAAUC